GACGAACGCUGGCGGCGUGCUUAACACCUGCAAGUCACGCGGUACGGGCCUUUCGGGGGUACACGAGCGUCGGACGGGUGCGCUACUCGUGUGCCAUCUGCCCCUGCCUCUCAGAUUGCCACCGGAAGCCGUGGCUAAUACCGGACAUUACCUCCUUCUGCUUGGCCUGUGGUGGAACAUUCCGCUGGUUAGUGAUGAGCUCACGGCCUAGCAGCUUGUUGUUGGGGUAAGGGCCCUCCACGGCGACGACGGUUAGCCGGACUGAGAGGCUGACCCGCCAGACUGGGCCUGAGACACAGCCCAGACCCCUACGGGAGGCAGCAGUGGGGAAUAUUGGACAACGCGCGACAGCCUGGUCCAGCAACGCCGCGUGGGGGAGGACCGCCUUCGGGUAGCAAACCUUUGUCACCAGGGACGAAGCGAAAGCGACGGUACCGGAAGAAGAAGGACCGGCCAACUACGU
rnacentral:rRNA from 1 species